UUUUUUUUUUUUUUUUUUUAGGUUUGUUUCUCAAUGUACUAGUUAAACGUGGUGAUCCCCAUCACUUUAGAAAUUUGGAAUUGCAAGGUUAACCCUCCAAGUAUUUAUAAUUUGGAGGUAGAAGAACCUCCGAAGUCAGGACUGGCUUUGUGACCUAACCCAAUGCCUCUCAAAUUUUCAUGCGUAUUGCAUUACCUGAAACCUUAUUAAAAUGCAAUAUCUGAUUCAGUAGUUCUGAGGCAGAUCCUGAGAGUAUGCAUUUUAAACAAGCUUCCAUGCUACUGGUCCACAGAUCACAUUUUGAGUAACAGGAUCUAAAUAGAAUUUCUUAUACAGGUUUCAUUAAAUUUCAAAAAUAUAAUACGCUUUUCUACACUACUAUAUUUUAUAUGAACACAUAAUUAAGGCAAAACAUUAACAGUAGUAUGUGCGUGCACGCACACACACAAACACAAGUGAUGCUGUUUAAUGCAAGAAAAAUGUAGAAAAAAGAUAUUAUUAUAUUACCUCUCCACUACUAACAAUUAUAAUUUGGUGCAUGGACGCUUUGAGCUUUAAAAAAGAUAUUCUCUCAAAAAAAAAUAAAAAAUAAAAAAAAAUAAUAAUAAAAAAAAAUAAAAAAGAUAUUCUCUCUAGUUAUCCUGGAUCAUAUUGAGGCCAAUAAUUGUUCAAAACUUGUGUGGUAAUUAAAACUACCAUAACUUUUCUAACCCUCUACCUGUUAAUUAAGUGUCUAAUUUCCGUAGGCUUCCUUUCCUCCCUGCUGGCCGGCUCUCACUUUUACUAUCAAAAAGCCUUCUCUCCAUUUUCACAAAGGUGAAAAUGAAUUUAUUCUCCAGGGAAUUAGGCACACAUACUACAGAAAUUUUCUCAUGUGUUGUAGACAUGAAUAUUCCAUGGUGAGUCUAAUUCAAUAUGGAAUAAGUAAUUUUUUUCUCUUCGAAGAAAAGGAUCACCUGUUACUUAAUAGUCAUCUUCUUAUGGCUGGCUUACAAAUUGUAUCCUCUGUCGUUUUGGAUACAUUUGUUUUACCUAGUUUUCUACUAAUUUACUAAUAGGAAUUAUAAUAAUUUAUAUAAUUAUAUAAAUUGUUAUAUAAAUUAUAAUUACUACUAAUUUGCUAUAGCACCUAAGAACUAUAUGCAGAGAUUUUAUUAAUUACAACAAUAAAACAGCUACUACUACCAUUUACUGAGUGCUCAUCUCAUGAAAAGUACUAUCAUUGUUCAUGCUUACAGAAUUCUUUUUUUUUUUUUCAUGCUUACAGAAUUCUAAAUAAGUAAGUAUAAUUGAGAACAUUAUACAGAUGAAGAAACAGAAGUUGAUAGACGUGAAAUCGCUUGGUUGGGGGUUACUUGAGCAGUAAAUGGUUCAAUUGAGGUUUGGAACCAGAUAAUUUUGGCUCCAUGAUCACAAAACAACCCUGCCUGUCUUUGAAAUUUGUUUCAUAUUAAUACAUAAUAGUUUUUCUCUUGAAGAAAGUAAUUAUAGCAAUCUUUAAAAUUGGGAGAUUCCAUCAAGUGAGAUCCAAGCAUAAGUAAAGGACAAGAGGAUCUUUUAAAAUGUUGAGUAUCCUCAGGGCAUAAAAAUAAGCCUUCUUAAGAUCAGAGAUCAUAAAAAAGAAUUUUUCAAAAACGCUUUUUAAAAAACACAAAACAAUUACUCUAACAAUUAGCUUAAGCUAGUCAAAUCUUACACAUAAACUAAGUGGCAAAGAGCAUCCAACCAAUUUAAUGAAUUCAUAAUACAGACCUUAGCAGAACUAAGAGCUCCUGGGUUUAGUUUAAGUUAACAUUGACUGGCUUAGCUCUGUGUUUGUUUUUCUGCAGUUUUUUUUUGCCCCAACAUGCCAUGAUCCUUAAUUUUAAUUCCUCCAAUGCUUGCCAUUUCCUUUGUAAAUCUUUUGGUAAGAACUUGAAAAUUAUACUUCCUAUCACUGGACUUCCUUUACUUUUGUAGUCCUCACUUCCACUCAUCUUCACAACUCCAGCCCACUCAUUCUGUGACCCCUACACUAUAAAAGUCAUCGAUGAGGGUGGGACAAACGUGAUUAGAACUAGAAUGACCUUUUUCAGAUAAAGUGAUAGGACAGUAAAAGAAGAAAUCUGAUUAGAUCCAUAGAAAUGCUUGAGAUGAGAAAAGAGAAGUCGUCAUAUGUAGGGAGGAAAAAUUAAGAAUGUCAGAGAAUUAAAAUAGAAAUGCAUUCUUUACAGAAUAUAGCUAUAAGUGACUAAAUUAUGGUGCAUCUUUUAAUGAGUCAGAACUUCUCAAUGUCAAGAUGUUUCAUGACAGAAUUGCAAUUUGCAUUGCAUUGUUCAAGUCACUGGUCUAACACUAAUGUCUUGUUAGUAAAAUUAACUUCACUAAGUAGUAGCAUAAUGGCCUCAAAAAGACUUUGCAGGGCUCUUUCGUCUGGGCUACCACCAUGUCAUCCAAACUGAGGAGGACCCAGAAACUUCAGGGCCACAGGAGCCACAGCCACACCUGCAGAGACAAGCACCAGAACCACCCAGGAUACCUGGGUAAUGCUUGUGGCAUGCAUCACCACAGGACCAACUUCGACAAAUAUCACCCAGGUUGCUUUGGAAGAGUUGGAUGAGACAUUACCAGUUAAAGAGGAACCAGAGGGAUGCCUGGGUGGCUCAGUGGUUGAGCGUCUGCCUUUGGCUCAGGUCAUGAUCCUGGUCCAGGGAUGAGUCCCGCAGCAGGUUCCCUGCAGGGAGCCUGCUUCUCCCUUGCCUAUGUCUCCACCUCUCUCUGUGUGUCUCUCAUAAAUAAAUAAAUAAGAUCUUAAAAAAAAAAAAAAAAAAAAAAAAG
rnacentral:lncRNA from 1 species